rnacentral:rRNA from 1 species
CCUACGGGGGGCUGCAGUGGGGGAUAUUGCACAAUGGGGGGAACCCUGAUGCAGCGACGCCGCGUGCGCGAAGAAGUACCUCGGUAUGUAAAGCUCUAUCAGCAGGGAAGAAAAUGACGGUACCUGACUAAGAAGCCCCGGCUAAAUACGUGCCAGCAGCCGCGGUAAUACGUAUGGGGCAGGCGUUAUCCGGAUUUACUGGGUGUAAAGGGAGCGCAGGCGGCCUGCCAAGUCUGGUGUGAAAACCCGGGGCGCAAGCCCGGGGCUGCAUUGGAAACUGGCGGGCUGGAGUGUAGAAGGGGCAGGCGGAAUUCAUAGUGUAGCGGUGAAAUGCGUAGAUAUUAGGAGGAACACCGGUGGCGAAGGCGGCCUGCUGGACGAUGACUGACGCUGAGGCUCGAAAGCGUGGGUAGCAAACAGGAUUAGAUACCCGAGUAGUC